rnacentral:rRNA from 1 species
UGGCCUCGGAUCAGGUGGGGAUACCCGCUGAACUUAAGCAUAUCAAUAAGCGGAGGAAAAGAAACCAACAGGGAUUGCCUCAGUAACGGCGAGUGAAGCGGCAAGAGCUCAGAUUUGAAACCUGCCGACCGGCCGGAUUGUAAUCUGCAGAGGAACGCUCGGCGGAGGGUGUGGUCCAAGUCUCCUGGAACGGAGCGCCUGAGAGGGUGAGAGCCCCGUACCGGACCACGGGCCGAAGCCGUGUGAGCGUCCUUCGACGAGUCGAGUUGUUUGGGAAUGCAGCUCUAAAAGGGUGGUAAAUUCCAUCUAAGGCUAAAUACGGGCCAGAGACCGAUAGCGCACAAGUAGAGUGAUCGAAAGAUGAAAAGCACUUUGGAAAGAGAGUCAAACAGUACGUGAAAUUGUUGAAAGGGAAGCGCUUGCGACCAGAGGUGGGUGCGGCCGCUCAGCCGGACAUUGUCCGGUGCACUCGGCCGCGCCCAGGCCAGCAUCGGUUCCCGCGGGCGGACAAAGUCGCCGGGAAGGUGGCCCCUCUCGGGGGGUGUUAUAGCCCGGCGCACAAUACGCCCAGCGGGGACCGAGGGACGCGCAUCAGCUCGGAUGCUGGCGUAAUGGUUGCUAGCGGCCCCGUCUUGAAACACGGAACCACGGAGUCUAACAUCAGUGCGAGUGUUAGGGUGGCAAGCCCUGGACGCGCAAUGAAAGUGAACGGAGGUGGGAGCUUCGGCGCACCAUCGACCGAUCCGGAGGGUCUCCGAAGGAUUUGAGUAGGAGCACGGGUGUUGGGACCCGAUAGAUGGUGAACUAUGCGUGAAUAGGGUGAAGCCAGAGGAAACUCUGGUGGAGGCUCGCAGCGGUUCUGACGUGCAAAUCGAUCGUCAAAUUUGCGUAUAGGGGCGAAAGACUUAUCGAACCAUCUAGUAGCUGGUUCCUGCCGAAGCUUCCCUCAGGAUAGCAGCAACGAGUUCAGUUUUAUGAGGUAAAGCGAAUGAUUAGAGGCCUGGGGGUUGAAACAACCUUCACCUAUUCUCAAACUUUGAAUAUGUAAGAAGCCCUUGUCACUUUGUUGGACGGGGGCAUUCGAAUGUAGCGUUGCUAAUGGGCCAUUUUUGGUAAGCAGAACCGGCGAUGCGAGAUGAACCGAACGCGCGGUUAAGGUGCCGGAAUGCACGCUCAUCAGACACCACAAAAGGUGUUAGUUCAUCCAGACAGCAGGACGGUGGCCAUGGAAGUCGGAAUCCGCUAAGGAGUGUGUAACAACUCACCUGCCGAAUGAACUAGCCCUGAAAAUGGAUGGCGCUCAAGCGUGCUACCCAUACCGCGCCGUCGGGCCUGAGAUGAGGGCCCGACGAGUAGGCAGGCGCGGGGGUCGGUGACGAAGC